rnacentral:rRNA from 1 species
AGUUUAAAGAGCCGCGGUAUUUUGACCGUGCAAAGGUAGCAUAAUCAUUAGUUUCUUAAUUAGAGGCUUGUAUGAAUGGUUUAACGAGAAAUUAACUGUCUCUUAAUAAUUUUUAGAAUUUAACUUUUAAGUUAAAAGGCUUAAAUUUUUCUUAAGGACGAGAAGACCCUAUAGAGCUUAAUAUUUAUAAACAUAUAUUAUUUUAGAUUAUCUUUUUAUAUAGAUUUUUUAAUAUUUGGUUGGGGUGACAUGAAGAAUAAAUAAACUCUUCAUUAUUAAAUCAUUGAUUGAUGUUUAUUUGAUCCAUAAUUUAUGAUCAAAAGAUUAAGUUACCUUAGGGAUAACAGCGUAAUCAUUUUUAAGAGUUCAUAUCGACAAAAUGGAUUGCGACCUCGAUGUUGGAUUAAGAUUAAUUUUAGGUGUAG